CAGAUUCACGAGCUGAAGCCCUAGCACCCAGGGCCCCAGCGUGUCACUGUGUUUGGAGACAGGUGAAGGCUGUCAAGGCAAGACAGGGUGGCCCUGAUCCAAUGUGACUGGCGUCCUUGUAAGAAGAGGAGAUUGGGACAGACACGGCUGGAGGGACGGCCAUGGGAGGGCGCCUCGGGGAGACGGUGUGCAAGAGCAGGAAGCGGGGCCUCGGAGGAGCCAGCACUUGGAUCUCGGGCUUCCAGGAGAAUCGGUUCCUGCGGUUGAAGCCACCGGGGUGCUGUGGCAGGGGCUGGGUCCCUGCUCGACCUUCGGGUGCUGGAGUGUCCCGUAUAAGAGCAGCACAGCCACUGCCACGGCCAUCUGCAGUUCCAGGCUCCGGGCAGCAUCUGGGACCCCGGUUCCUGUUGUGAGAGGCUCCCCACUGCCAUCCCACCCCCUGCAAGUAAGCCAGAGAAGAGAAAAUGCCAUUUGGAAAAUCCUAAGGAAGAGAGGAUGUAUUUCCUCGUCUCCACGUGGAAGCGGAUCACCCUAAAGGUCUUCAUCCUGGUCUUUUUCACGCUGAGGAGACUGAGGAGGAGGAGGAAGAGGAGGGGCUGGUCUUGCUGACCCCGGAGCGGCAGAGGCAGGAGAAAAUCCACGUGGAGGGGCUCACCAGCGCUGGGCUUCUCAGGAAUGGAAUCACACACAUGGACUGUGGCGUACACAUCACAACUUUAAGGCCUGUCUUUACUGAAGCCUGCAUCAGAAUUUCUUCUGUUUUUGUGGCAGAAGGAUAGAUAUUCCAUUGUACAGA
rnacentral:lncRNA from 1 species